rnacentral:lncRNA from 1 species
CCCGUUCCCAGAUCUCCAGCUGCGUGCUGGAAGAACCACUACUCUCUUCAAAGCUGUCAGACAGGGACAUUUAAGUCUGCAGAGGUUACUGCUGUCUUUUUGUUUGUCUGUGCCCUGCCCCCAGAGGUGGAGCCUACAGAGGCAGGCAGGCCUCCUUGAGCUGUGGUGGGUUCCACCCAGUUGGAGCUUCCCGGCUGCUUUGUUUACCUAAGCAAGCCUGGGCAAUGGCGGGCGCCCCUCCCCCAGCCUCCCUGCCGCCUUGCAGUUUGAUCUCAGACUGCUGUGCUAGCAAUCAGCGAGACUCCGUGGGCGUAGGACCCUCCGAGCCAGGUGCGGGAUAUCAUCUCGUGGUGCGCCGUUUAAGCCAGUCGGAAAAGCGCAGUAUUCGGGUGGGAGUGACCCGAUUUUCCAGGUGCGUCCGUCACCCCUUUCUUUGACUCGGAAAGGGAACUCCCUGACCCCUUGCGCUUCCCAAGUGAGGCAGUGCCUUGCCCUGCUUCGGCUCGUGCACGGUGCGCGCACCCACUGACCUGCGCCCACUGUCUGGCACUCCCUAGUGAGAUGAACCCGGUACCUCAGAUGGAAAUGCAGAAAUCACCCGUCUUCUGCGUCGCUCACGCUGGGAGCUGUAGAUUCGGCCAUCUUGGCUCCUCCCCGACUUUGUUUUUCGAUUGUUUUGUCCCUUGAGAUUUUAUCUUAGUUUGACGUGGAUUUUUUUUCAUAGAAUCAUUGCCCAGGAUUGGCUGUCAACAUUUAAAUAUCAAGAUUUCGGAGCGGGGCGCGAUGGCUCACGCCUGUGAUCCCAGCACUUUGGCAGGCCGAGGUGGGCAGAUCACGAGGUCAGGAGAUCGAAACACAGUGAAACCCCGUCUCUACUAAACAUACAAAAAAAAAAAUUAAAUUAAAUAUCAAGAUUUCUGGCUUCUCUUGAAGAAUUAGGUGAUGGGCCCACAUUUCCACACUAAAACAACUGUCCAGAACUGCGUAGGAGGCCGUGUCUAUUAGGCUGGAUCAGAAAUCUUGCUCAAGCAACACCCCUGCUGCCUCCCUCAGCAUGAACCUCGGUAUGAAGACAGAGACAAUGUUAUGUGUUCAUCCCAUAGGUUCUUCCCAGGCAUUUCCCGGCCCCGUAGGGUUAGCAUUGGUUGGCAAAAACCAUGUGACAGAGAUUUGCUGAUGGCAAUGUGAUGCAGUAAAGAGAUGGUGUAAAUUCUCCAUGUAUUCUUACAUUGUGUGGUUGGAAGCUAGAAACCUCUGAGAGGACAGACUGGCAAGAAAGAACCAGCUGACAUCCCCAAGUGAUCACUAUAGGACAGCUGCCAAGAAAAGCUCGCUGACUCCUCUGAGCCCCAAAUAGAAGCAAAAAACAAAGCUUGGUUGUGUUAAGCCACUGAUAUGCAGGGGUUAUCUGCUACCAUGGUAGAGCUUGUCCUCUGCUGACUGAUGAAAUGGAUCAUAAGAAUAGUAGCAAAUAUUCAUUGAGUGCUUCCUGAUUUGAAUGCCUAGUCAUUGGGCUAAAUACUUUACAUAUAAUACCUUAGUUAGUCUUAAUAAUUAUUCUGUCUGAUAGGUACUAUUAUUUUACCCUUUUUAGAUAAGAGGUUUAGAGAUGUUAAGUCAUAUACUUGAGUUCAUAGUAAGUGAGAGAGUUAGGCAGUCUGAUGCCAAAACUUUCGCUACGCUCCUCUCUUUUUUCUAUUCUAUAUUGUCUCGCUGAGUCUGUCUUUCUCUGUAAAAAAGGCAAUGAUAACCUCAACUUUAACAGUCAGAUAUUAGUUGUGCUAAGAGAUAGUCUGGGUUAAUUUUAAAUUAUUUGGAUCAGUUUGAAGUUACGUGGAGAAAUUGGCAAUGGUUUAAUCUACUUGAACCAGUCUAUACCAGAUAAGUACAGUUAGAAUUAAUUUGAGCUGGAUUCUGCUAGUAUAGACAUUCUGGAACACCCUUGGAUUUUUGCUAAUCCUUUAACAGAGAUAUUAUUGGCAGUUAGAUAGUAAUUAUUAUGUUAAGAAAAUGUAAUUAUAUUCUUAGGUUACUGAAGAGUUUAAUCAGAAAUAAUUAAAUGUUUCAAAAAUCAUGUGGGCAUCUCUAACACUGCUAGUGUAGCAAAACCUCCUGUCCAAAACCUCCUUCCAGUCACUACCUCCUCCAUCUUUUCCAAAGAAAAGCCUUACCCUGACUUAACAUGCCAUAGUGUGGGCGAAGGAUUACCCAGGUGCUGAGGCAAGAGACUGAAGGCACAAACUGUUGCAGUAUAAUAAGGAAAAUAGUUAGAAUAAGAAUAGUUAUAAUACAAAUUAGAUAUAGAGAUAACCAUAGACAUUAUCAAUCAUUAGUAUAAAUAUUAUUACUCAUUAGCUUUUAAUAUUACUCUUUGUUGUAUUACUAAUAUAACCAAGGAAUAACCAGCGGGUAUAGGGUCAGGUGCCAACGGGACAUUGUGAGAAGUGACCUAGAAAGCAAGAGGUGAGCCCUCUGUCACACCUGCAUAAGGGCCACUUGAGGGUUCCUUGGUCAAGCAGUAAUGCCAGUGCCUGGGAAGGCACCCGUUACUUAGCAGACCGUGAAAGGGAGUCUCCCUUUCCUUGGAGGAGUCAGGGAACACUCUGCUCCACCACCUUCUUGUGGGAGGCUGGAUAUUAUCCAGGCCUGCCCGCAGUCAUCCGGAGGCCUAAACCCCUGCCUGUGGUGCUGUGCUUCAGUAGUCAUGCUCCUUGUCCACUUUCAUGUUCCUCCCGCACUCCUGGUUCCUCUUUGAAGUUCUUAGUAGAUAGUGGUAGAAGAAAUAGUGAAAGUCUUAAAAUCUUUGAUCUUUCUUAUAAAUGCAUAGAAGAAAAUGCUGACAUAUACUGCCUUCCCUCUCUGCUUCGGCUACCUAAGAGCAAAGGGCCCCCUGUCCCAUGAUCACGUGACUUGCUUGACCUUAUCAAUCACCUGGACGACUCACCUGCCUUACCCUGCCUCCUUGUCUUGUAUGCAAUAAAUAUCAGCACACCCAGCUAUUUGGGGCCACUACCGGUCUCCACGUCUUGGUGGUAGUGGUCCCCCGGGCCCAGCUGUUUUCUCUUUAUCUCUUUGUCUUGUGUCUUUAUUUCUUACAAUCUCUCGUCUCCGCACACGGGGAGAACACCCUCAAAGCCCCGUAGGGCUGGACCCUACACCAUAGAUUAGUUUUGCUUAGCUUUAAACGCUUUAUAAAUGGAAUUACACAGGAUGCAUUAUUGUGCCUGCAUUCAUUCAACACUAUGUAUGCCAGAUUUACCCAUAUUAUUGUAUGUAGCUGUAUUGUUCAUACAUUUGUAUUGCUGUAUAAUAUUCCAGUGUAUGAAUAUGCCAUAAUUUAUUUAUCCAUUACACUGUCAUUGAAUAUUGGGUUGUUUCCAGUUUGGGUUUAUUACAAAUAAUGCUGCCAUGAACCUCUUUCAUAUCUUUAAUUAUACUUGUGUAACCAUUUAUUUAAUACAUAUAGAUAGGCAGGAAGUUACUGGAUUAUACAAUACAUGCAUACUCUUCUUUAGUACAUAAUGUCAAACAUUUUCCAAAGUGGUUCUACCAAUCUACAUA